AUUGAACGCUGGCGGCAGGCCUAACACAUGCAAGUCGGACGGUAGCACAGAGGAGCUUGCUCCUCGGGUGACGAGUGGCGGACGGGUGAGUAAUGGCUGGGGAUCUGCCCGAUACCGGGGGAUAACCACGGGAAACGGUGGCUAAUACCGCAUAACGUCGCAAGACCAAAGAGGGGGACCUUCGGGCCUCUCACUAUCGGAUGAACCCAGAUGGGAUUAGCUAGUAGGCGGGGUAAUGGCCCACCUAGGCGACGAUCCCUAGCUGGUCUGAGAGGAUGACCAGCCACACUGGAACUGAGACACGGUCCAGACUCCUACGGGAGGCAGCAGUGGGGAAUAUUGCACAAUGGGCGCAAGCCUGAUGCAGCCAUGCCGCGUGUAUGAAGAAGGCCUUCGGGUUGUAAAGUACUUUCAGCGGGGAGGAAGGCGAUGUGGUUAAUAGCCUUGUCGAUUGACGUUACCCGCAGAAGAAGCACCGGCUAACUCCGUGCCAGCCGCCGCCGUAA
rnacentral:rRNA from 1 species